GACGAGGGAUCCUAGCGUUGUUCGGAAUUAUUGGGCGUAAAGCGGGUGUAGGCGGACUGUUAAGUCAGGUGUGAAAUCCCAGGGCUCAACCCUGGAAGUGCACUUGAUACUGGCAGUCUUGAAUGUGGUAGAGGUUACUGGAAUUCCUGGUGUAGUGGUGAAAUACGUAGAUAUCAGGAGGAACACCGGAGGCGGCCAUCUGGGACAACACUGACGCUGAGGCACGAAAGCGUGGGGAGCAAACAGG
rnacentral:rRNA from 1 species